ACAUUGGUGGUUCAGUGGUAGAAUUCUCCCCUUCCAUCAGGAAGACCUGGGUUCCAUCCCUUGCCAGUGUA
rnacentral:tRNA from 1 species